AUAUUUCAUCUUAUUAAUUCUGCGUCCGGUACUAGCAAUCUCUUUCGUUCUCGUGUUCAUAUCUCUGGGGUGGUUUUUGGCAUGGAAGCUGGUGCUGGUACACGUACCUCUUGUGCAAGAGAUGUUCGGGUUGCGUAAAAGGAUCCAUAAACCCAAACCCAUUACUCGUCGAUUUUCCAGAUAUUACAAGUCCAUUAAUGCCCGAAAUUCUACCUCUGGAUGAUGAAAUCUGAUGGGGGAUUUGGUGUCAGUGCUGAAUAAACAUCUUCAGAUCCGCUCGAGAUCAAAUUCUUGAAUGCUUGUGUUCCUGGCAGGGGAGACCAAGGCAGAGUGAAGUAACAAAAACCAUACAUAUUUUUGGCUCCCAACAAAGAAAUUAUCAAUGAAUGUUCAUGUUUAUAGAUAAUAGAGAUUAUGCUUUU
rnacentral:misc_RNA from 1 species